UGAGUAACCUGCCCUUAACUCUGGGAUAAGCCUGGGAAACUGGGUCUAAUACCGGAUAUGACUCCUCAUCGCAUGGUGGGGGUGGAAAGCUUUAUUGUGGUUUUGGAUGGACUCGCGGCCUAUCAGCUUGUUGGUGAGGUAAUGGCUCACCAAGGCGAUGACGGGUAGCCGGCCUGAGAGGGUGACCGGCCACACUGGGACUGAGACACGGCCCAGACUCCUACGGGAGCAG
rnacentral:rRNA from 1 species